rnacentral:rRNA from 1 species
CCUACGGGAGGCAGCAGUGGGGAAUUUUGCGCAAUGCUCGUAAGAGUGACGCAGCGACGCCGCGUGAAUGACGAAGGCCUUCGGGUCGUAAAGUUCUUUCGACAGGGAAGAAAAUGCCUAUAAGUAACUGUGUAUGUAUUGACGGUACCUGUAUAAGCAGCCCCGGCUAACUCCGUGCCAGCAGCCGCGGUAAUACGGAGGGGGCGAGCGUUGUUCGGAGGGACUGGGCGUAAAGAGCACGUAGGCGGUGUUGUAAGUCAUUAGUCAAAGACUAGAGCUCAACUUUAGUAAGGCUAGUGAUACUAUAAUACUAGAGUAUCAGAGAGGAUUGCAGAAUUCCUGGGGUAGCGGUGAAAUGCGUAGAUAUCAGGAGGAAUACCGUUAGCGAAGGCGGCAAUCUGGCUGGAAACUGACGCUGAGGUGCGAAAGCGUGGGUAGCAAACAGGAUUAGAUACCCUUGUAGUC